rnacentral:rRNA from 1 species
CCUACGGGCGGCAGCAGUGGGGAAUAUUGGACAAUGGGGGCAACCCUGAUCCAGCCAUGCCGCGUGAGUGAUGAAGGCCCUAGGGUUGUAAAGCUCUUUUGUGCGGGAAGAUAAUGACGGUACCGCAAGAAUAAGCCCCGGCUAACUUCGUGCCAGCAGCCGCGGUAAUACGAAGGGGGCUAGCGUUGCUCGGAAUCACUGGGCGUAAAGGGUGCGUAGGCGGGUCUUUAAGUCAGGUGUGAAAUCCUGGAGCACAACUCCAGAACUGCCUUUGAGACUGAAGAUCUUGAGUUCGGGAGAGGUGAGUGGAACUGCGAGUGUAGAGGUGAAAUUCGUAGAUAUUCGCAAGAACACCAGUGGCGAAGGCGGCUCACUGGCCCGAUACUGACGCUGAGGCACGAAAGCGUGGGGAGCAAACAGGAUUAGAUACCCUGGUAGUC